rnacentral:sRNA from 1 species
UCACGCACAGCGUGGAAACCCUAUCACACUACACUGCCUGAAUUCACUACUAACUUGAAUCUUUAUCGCCGAGCCAAAUCCCUCACUUCCUCGAUCAAACCCUUUUCCUUCUUCUUAACCAUUGCCAUCUUCAACUUCUUCUUCUUCCUCUCAUCUUUCACCUUCUUCCACCCAAUCUUACUCAACCUCCUCUCCAGUUCUCCUGAGAGACGCAUCUCUUCAAGGGUCUUCAGAUCUCCCAAAAUGGGCUCAUUGCCGAUCAUGACGAUUGGCGAGUCCGCUGUAGCCGGCAGACCUAGACGAGCUAGGAUAGAAAGAAUAACAUCACGGUCUGGCCGGGAGUGGAGAGGGAUGUAAGUGAUAUGUCGGUUGGAUGAGUGGGAAGAGGCGAUGAUAUCGAUUACGUCAUGUGGGGGUUGUUUACGUCUAUCCAAAGUGUGAAGAGGAGGUUAAGGACAAAAGGAAAUGAGAAGAAGAGGGAAUGUCAGCCAAACGCUCUUCUGUUGCUACCCCUUCCCGAAAAUUGGGAAGAGGAAAUACUGAAAGAUAAGAGGCGAGCUCACCCAUUACCGCCAAACCAAACGACAACCUCAUCGUCCCACUCACUCUCAAUAUCCUUCAACCACUCCUCUCCCACCUCUCCUUCCUCUUUCCCUUGCUUAUCGUUCGUGCCACCCAACCCAGCCUCUCCACCAGACUUCUUCGCCGCUGCACUAAUACCAAGUAUUGUGUUCGCAUCCAACGGUUUCGAGGGAUCAACGUUCUCAGUUCAUGUGACGCUGGGAUGGGCCGGGGGCGGAGGGCUGGGCGGGUGGUUUUUGGGGGGGCUAAUUAGAUUGAACGAAAGAUAAAGACAGAUGUUAGGAUGAAUUACACAUGUCAUAUUGAGG